UUAUGACCUGGGCUACACACGUGCUACAAUGGGCGGUACAAAGGGUCGCGAACCCGCGAGGGGGAGCCAAUCCCAAAAAGCCGCUCUCAGUUCGGAUUGCAGGCUGCAACUCGCCUGCAUGAAGCCGGAAUCGCUAGUAAUCGCGGAUCAGCACGCCGCGGUGAAUACGUUCCCGGGCCUU
rnacentral:rRNA from 1 species